rnacentral:lncRNA from 1 species
AUUUGCAUGGACACUCACAGGCUUCGUUAACAGCAUCCUCCUCCAUGGGGUGGGCUGAGUGCUCACUCACAGGAUAACUGAUCAACCUCCUCCAUGGUGAGUGGUGAAUGCAUGGAUACUCAGGUCAACUGGUCAACCUCACCCUCCUCCAUAGGGUGUGCUGAGCGCACGGACACUCACAGGUUGACUGACCAACUUUGCCCUUAUGAGCAAGGCGAACUGGGAAGCACUUGGGACCCUUCUCAGAAAUAGGGGCGCAGUUGUGCCCUGUAGCCUUAGGUACUUGGCAGUGCCCUCCCAACUUGCCUCCACACAAAAACCUCGCUGCGUGACCGCCUGCCCUG